rnacentral:rRNA from 1 species
UACGUAGGUGGCAAGCGUUGUCCGGAUUUACUGGGCGUAAAGAGCGCGCAGGCGGUCGAUUUAGUCGCGUGUGAAAGCCCCCGGCUCAACUGGGGAGGGUCACGCGAUACUGAUCGACUCGAAGGCAGGAGAGGGUAGUGGAAUUCCCGGUGUAGUGGUGAAAUGCGUAGAUAUCGGUAGGAACACCAGUGGCGAAGGCGGUCUUCUGGAGCACUCUUGACGCUGAGGCGCGAAAGCUGGGGGGAGCGAACGGG